GAGGAGCAGAAAAAGCCUUGACUCUGUGUAAGAGCUGCUCAGCAGUAAUGGAAACAUCCCUGUGAUAUCAGCACUGUUUCCAGCAUAAGCCCAAAACAUAGCCCCAUACCAGCUACUAUGAAGGAAAUUAACUCUACCCUUUCUAAAACCAGCACAAUUGAUCAGUGAAACGUGUAUUAGCCCUGCCAUAGGAAGAUACAGACAUGAAUUGUGGAGGAAAAGGAGUUUGCAGUGUCUGAAAUGAAGAUUAUGUUUGAUUUAUCAGUACCAGCACUUCAGAGAAAGAACAAUGCCUUGGUAAAGGGUUGAAUGUCACCUACUUCAACAGAGGGCUUCUAGGCACCACAGCAAUUAGCUUAUCAGAUAAUCAUAAAAUAGGAU